rnacentral:rRNA from 1 species
GAUGAACGCUGGCGGCGUGCCUAAUACAUGCAAGUUGAGCGAACAGAUGAGGAGUUUGCUCCUCUGACGUUAGCGGCGGACGGGUGAGUAACACGUGGAUAACCUACCUAUAAGACUGGGAUAACUUCGGGAAACCGGAGCUAAUACCGGAUAAUAUAUUGAACCGCAUGGUUCAAUAGUGAAAGACGGUUUUGCUGUCACUUAUAGAUGGAUCCGCGCCGCAUUAGCUAGUUGGUAAGGUAACGGCUUACCAAGGCAACGAUGCGUAUCCGACCUGAGAGGGUGAGCAGCCACACUGGAACUGAGACACGGUCCAGACGCCUACGGGAGGCAACAGUAGGGAAUCUUACACAAUAGGCGAACGCCUGACGGGGCAACACCGCGUGAGUGAUGAAGAUCUACGGAUCGUAAAACUCUGUUAUUAGGGAAGAACAAAUGUGUAAGUAACUAUGCACGUCUUGACGGUACCUAAACAGAAAGCCACGGCUCACUACGUA